UAGAUGUUACAUAAACAAAACCUCCAUUGACUCCAGUUCUGUGUCUGGCCUAAAAUAGCCCCGGGGCUAGACUCAACCUCUGUCAUCCCUCGCGGUCCCCCAUGUGUGCGAGCUACUGCCCUCAUUGAACCAUGUGUGUGGACACGCUGCAGCCUCCUCAAGGGACAACUUCCCCUAGGACCAAAGGCGAGGCUCCUUGGCUGCCCAUGGCAGCUCAGACACAAGGAUUCAGCUAGAGCUCCAAAUGGAACUGGGAAGGAGAUCUGAACAGUCGAGGCUGCUUGGCCUCAUUUUGAUCGUGUGCCUAAUAAUCUGUCAUCAUUUAAAGGCCAUUUCCUCCGCACCUGCAUCCAGAGUGCAUCCAGAGGCUGAGGCCUUGAGGAGAAAUCAGAGCCCCUGUUCUGUUCCUUCUCAGCUACGUGUCCCACUUCCAACCAUGCACAGCAUGACCUGGAAAGAAAGCGAAGUUCAAAUUGGUCCUUUAAGAAUUCUGGCGAUGGGGUCUGGAAUCCAGCAGACCUGGAUGAAAUCCUGACUCCCCUGCUUGUUAACUGUUUUAUCCUGGACAAAUUAGUUCACUUUCCUCUGAGCCUCAGUCUCCCUGCAAGAAGAAUGAAAUGUCAUCUCGCUGGAAGCCUGCGCUGCUUUCUAGGCAAAUCGUUUGUUCUGUGAAGACUGCACAAUAAAUGUCAACCCCGGGCAGUUUUGGCAUUUGUGGGAGUGUAACACGCAGCUCUCAUCUGCCUGCAUGAGGCUGCCGAGCAGCGUGGAUUUAUGGACAGAAAGAACCAAUCAUCAAGCCUCUCCAAGUCCAGAGUUUCUCUGUAUCUUGUCUCAUCUGGGAGACGGUCCAGGUGGGAAGUGAGAUGUCUUCCUCCAUCUGGGAUGAAACAGCAGGAGCUGGGAAUGGAAAAGUUGAUCAGAUUAGCUGUGAAGUUUUUGAUGUAGCAUCGUCAUUAGUUCAAAGUGAAAAUGAGGACCCGGGUGUGCCCAUGCUUCCGUGGCAUGUGCCCGCCCCUCAUAUCGUGGAAAGAUGAAGAAGGGACUUUGUUAAAGGGAAAAUAGGGCACUUUAGGAUGAGUCAGUGAGCAUCCCAAGAUGGACUGUAUUGAUUAUGGGAUUUCAUUGAGUCCACCCAAUGCUUCCAAAGUAUGAUUGAGAAAACUACACAGUUCUCAGACUCAGCCUCGGGCAAGGCUGUCAGCACCACUUAGGGACAGUUUCAACAUGAGCAGGGCUACAAGAUUUUCAUGAAAAAUUAUUUCUUCACUGUUUUCGAUGUCCAUGUAGAUUUGUGGCUUUUUGUUUUAUUUUUUAAAAUGGUUAAAUAUGCGUUUUUGAAAAUCAAAGGCUUUUGUCUUGUUUUGGAAUUUCUUCCAGAUUUAUGACUGGCCGGUGUUCUGUAUGUCACACUGAGUUCUUUGGAGAAUCUGGAGCUGGAAAAAUGUCAAGUGAGGUGGGAGGAUUAUAAAGAGGCAAGCCUUAUUCCCACCACAUUAAAACAUCAAGAAAUUUAUCAAAUUCUUUACUGGAAAACUGUGAGGUGUGUGUGUGUGUGUGUGUGUGUGUGUGUGUGUGUGCGUGCUCAUGCUAGUGAAAGGUGCACACACAUGUGCCUAUGUGAGUCUAUUCUGAGUCCAGCUUCAUGUUUCAGUCACCACCCACCAGGCUUUGUUCCUUUUUAUUGGAGACAGUUCCUUCUGGCCUGGAACUCACAAAAUAGGCUAGACUGGUUCGCCAACAAGCCCCAGAAUCCACUGUCUCCCCGCCCCAAACGGAGAUUCUCAGGCUCAGCUUCUUACACAUGUUCUGGGGCUCAAAACCCGGGUCUUUAUGCUUCCAUGGCAAACACUUUACGGACUGAGCCAUCUCCCCAGCCCUGAAGCACUGUUUUUAAAGCCCUCCUGGUAGCUAGGUGGAUUAUAGAGACUGAAAAAGCUUGGAUACAGAAAGAAAAAUCAAAGCGAGGCAACAUAAGAAGCUCUGCCCAGAUACACUGGGCUCCCCUCUGAGCUUGCUCUCAUGGAGAAUGUUCAGCAAGACUCAGUUAAGACCAAAGCACUGUGCUGUGUGCCAUGACAAAGAGACCAAACAGGGCACAGAAAAUACUCAUGCAGGUGACCUGAACAGUUAUCCAAGAAGCAAGUAGCUUCUACCCUGUAUCAACCAUCUCCCGGGCCAAGUCAAAAGCUAGGGAUUUUGUCAUCAAAGAGGCCUUUCUGACUGAGUCAAUUUUGCUGACGAAAGAAAUGGGAAGUCUGUGAAGUAGAAAUCACUGAGUCCAGAAUCAAGCAAGGGUCUGUGUGAAAUU